rnacentral:rRNA from 1 species
CCUACGGGAGGCAGCAGUAGGGAAUCUUCCACAAUGGGCGAAAGCCUGAUGGAGCAACGCCGCGUGGGUGAAGAAGGUCUUCGGAUCGUAAAACCCUGUUGUUAGAGAAGAAAGUGCGUGAGAGUAACUGUUCACGUUUCGACGGUAUCUAACCAGAAAGCCACGGCUAACUACGUGCCAGCAGCCGCGGUAAUACGUAGGUGGCAAGCGUUAUCCGGAUUUAUUGGGCGUAAAGGGAACGCAGGCGGUCUUUUAAGUCUGAUGGGAAAGCCUUCGGCUUAACCGGAGUAGUGCAUUGGAAACGGGGAGACUUGAGUGCAGAAGAGGAGAGUGGAACUCCAUGGGUAGCGGUGAAAUGCGUAGAUAUAUGGAAGAACACCAGUGGCGAAAGCGGCUCUCUGGUCUGUAACUGACGCUGAGGUUCGAAAGCGUGGGUAGCAAACAGGAUUAGAUACCCUAGUAGUC